CUUUAACUUUUUGUCUGAAAAUAAAAUGUAAAUUUUACUCAACUGCAUUACCCACUCCAGUCAGCAGAUGGCGGUGUGGGACUUUAAGGCAAUGCUGGUAGUGUGACGUAUAAUCUAGUGGACGGAACGCUUCUUUCAACAGCUGCAAUAGUUAGUCAGCCACCUCGGUAGCUUGCUAGCCAAAAUAGCCGAACCAAUAAAACUCUUUAGAUGCUUUAGUGUAUAUUAGCAACUGUGUUGUAAACCGACUUCUGUCGUCUAGUUAGUUAUUCGAUUUAAUUUCAUAUUUACGGUAUUGUUGUUAUUAUUCAGCUAGCGGGCUGAUGAAGUUAGCAAGUUAGCAUCCCCGACCAUGAGGUCACUAAGCUACUCUCCUCCUGCCAAAGAAGAGGCGGUCUGCUGAUAGGAGAAAGAAGUUAUCGUGAAAGAGGAGGAUAUCAUAGUAAAACAAGAAGUAGAGGAUGAGGCUGUUACAGUGAAAGAUGAAGAGUAAUACGUUUCAGUGAAAGAAGAGGAGGAAGAGAAAGAGGAUGCAGUUUUUGGAGUGAAAGAGGAGGAGGGGGAGAUGACUGUCACAUCGAAAGAGGAGGAAACUAGAUAUCUGUGCCCGGUUUCCCAAACGCAUCUUAAGGCAUCCAAUGGUUCUAACGAUGAACAGGCCCUGGUUAACACUAGAGAGAGACGGGACUAUCGUGGAUCCUCUGUGGAUCCUCAGCAACAUCAUGAUGCUGACGAGGCAGAGAAAAGUCUCUUCAGAUCAGAUCUCCUCAAGAAAUACCAUCAGAGACGCACAGGGAAGAAAUUUCAUUGCUGCUCUGACUGUGGGAUACGUUGCAAAUAUUAAUCAGAACUUAAAAUACACCAGAGAAUACACACAGGAGAUACAUCUUAUAGCUGUGAUCAAUGUGGGAAGUGUUUUAUUCGGCUACAAACCCUGAAAUCACACCAGAGAACACACACAGGAGAGAAAUCAUGUAGCUGUAAUCAAUGUGGGAAGUUUUAUUUAUCUAAACAACCUGAUAGUACAUCAGCGGACACACACAGGAGAAAAAUCUUAUAGUUGUGAUCAAUGUGGGAAGAGUUUUAUUCGGCUACAAACCCUGAAAUCACACCAGAGAAUAUACACAGGAGAGAAAUCUUACAGCUGUAACCACUGUGGGAAGAGUUGUACUCACCUAACCAACAUGAUAGUACAAGCUCUGAAUUGAAAGAUUACUAUUUAUGAGAUUUAAUAAUGAAUGACUAACAAAAAAAGAGUUGUGUUACACUUACCACGUUGGUGACCCACUUGAAUCAAAACACUUCAAAACGUUUUCUACAAAUUGUCCUCUAACCAGUGAUGUACACAUUAUUCCCAGAUUCGGUGUGGUUUUUGAGCUGUUAAUUUUAACAUGACGUGCAACCUCAUCUCCCUCUUGCACAAUUGAUUUCAACAUGAUAUAGAUGACUGGUGACAAAUAAGUGUUGCGUUCCUUUGUUUAGCGACCCCUACAUUUAAAUGCAUCACUCCAAAAUGUAGCUUACUGUCUUCUGCAGGUUGUCUUCUAACCAGUGAGGUAAAAGAUAUCUCCCAUUUCCAUGUGUUUUUUUUAGUUGUGUUAGUUUCAACAGCAUGUAGAACUGAUUUCCCCCCUAAUCGAUAUCAGUGAUUUAUUGCUACUUGUCAAAAUAACAGCAUCUCUGGUGCUUGUGCAGUUUAAAAGGUGCUUAUUAAAAAAAAAAUGCAAGGUAUAUGGUUAUUGUGGCAGAUAUGUGUAAAUAGUACAUUUUAUGUUUAAGUUUUCAAUAUAUCACAAACUGUUUCUGCAUACUGGUUAUUGAUUUGGACACGUUAAAACUGUGUUUUGACAUUGGGGCUAUCCCACCUAGCAAAAUGUAAUUGAAAAAAAUGUUGUUUCCUCUUGUGGUAAGGAUAACUUGGUUGCUGAAUGUCUCAGGGGUGGGCAGUCAAAAAGAUUUGUGUUUUGCGUUUAGCCAGUGCGUUGCCAUGGAUCACAAUUUAUCCAAUUUAUCAAUUUUUUCCCGUAUUGGAGAUGAGUUUUGUUUGAGUUCUAAUUCUUAGGAAGACGAGUUUCCUAGCAGCUAGUGAGUUUUAUAUUGUAGAAGGUGAAGCAUUGUAGUUGAUUAUAAUGUGGAGUGGAAGUUGUUUUCUGUUGGUGGAAAGCAAACUCAUCCAACAAAAAUAUAGGAUAUAUUUGUUGUCUUAAGGUGUGAGGGUGGACUUUAGCAUGAAGGAAACAGGGAUAC
rnacentral:lncRNA from 1 species